rnacentral:rRNA from 1 species
GCUGGAGGUAUCAGAAGUGCGAAUGCUGACAUAAGUAACGAUAAAGCGGGUGAAAAGCCCGCUCGCCGGAAGACCAAGGGUUCCUGUCCAACGUUAAUCGGGGCAGGGUGAGUCGACCCCUAAGGCGAGGCCGAAAGGCGUAGUCGAUGGGAAACAGGUUAAUAUUCCUGUACUUGGUGUUACUGCGAAGGGGGGACGGAGAAGGCUAUGUUGGCCGGGCGACGGUUGUCCCGGUUUAAGCGUGUAGGCUGGUUUUCCAGGCAAAUCCGGAAAAUCAAGGCUGAGGCGUGAUGACGAGGCACUACGGUGCUGAAGCAACAAAUGCCCUGCUUCCAGGAAAAGCCUCUAAGCAUCAGGUAACAUCAAAUCGUACCCCAAACCGACACAGGUGGUCAGGUAGAGAAUACCAAGGCGCUUGAGAGAACUCGGGUGAAGGAACUAGGCAAAAUGGUGCCGUAACUUCGGGAGAAGG